rnacentral:lncRNA from 1 species
ACUGGGAAAGAAUACACACACAAAAAAAUCCAGAGUUAGGAGGACUGCAGAAUAGAUCAUGCAGGGGCAGAUAGGAGAGGUCUCUUUGCAGAAAGCCAAGAAAACUCUCUCUGAAGGUACGAGUGUAAGAGUUACUGAAAAGCCCUGUGUGCACUUCAGAGCUUCAGCAUGUCUGUGUGUCCUGAGAGAAAUGCAUGUGAAAGAAAACUUCAUGGUACCUAAUGAUGUAGCUGAGGGCAAUGCAGCACGCAGGCAACACUGUCAAAAGUGAUGAUUUAUAAGGGACUUCUAUUCCAUGUCUUUGAGACAUUCUUGGAAGGAUUUUUAAAGGAGAUUGAUAAAGUAUAAUUUAUAUUUUAAUAAAAUAAUUAGUAUGAUUUAUAUUUUAAUAAAAAUAAUUUCUAUAGAAAUCUGCCAAGAUUGAAUAUUGACACUGCUUAAUACCGUCCAUGGUCACUAUUUUCUUAUCCAUAGAAUGGGCAUUAUUGUGGUCAUUAUAACUCAUUGGUUAUAUAUUAAUUAAAGUGAUUAAACAACAUUUUCUGUUUACAGUAUACAGUGGACAGGGGAAGGUGCUCAUUUUUAUACGUCCCCUUGGAUUUCUGACCCAGACCAUUCAUUAUUUUGUGCAUUCCUCCUUUGCCCUCAUAUCUGAAUUUUUUUUGACAAUUUUCUCUGAGAUUCCUGGCAUUUGGACCUCUGGAGAUGGCAGGGGGUCUAGUUUACUGUCUGUUAAUUUUAGCUCUUCUCAGCUGGAGGUGCCAUCACAAGUAGAAUAACCAGGGAGAGUGUGAGGUGGUACAGCCUAUUAAGUGGCCCCAUGGGGCUGCCUUCACAGCAAAAAUCAAAACAAACAAACAGCACCCCCAAGCACAUUUGGGCUUUAGGGGUUUUUAAAGAUGGACAUUCCCUUAUUAAUAACAUACCUGUUAAAGUCGAAUGUGACAGCUCUCAAAAAGUUCCUUCUAAUAACACCAUUGCUAAUCCAAACUCACUUGGUCAUAUCUACAGAUCUCAGAGGCAGGCAGCAGCCACAGUAUUACACAGGGAAGGGUAUUUAAAGCAUUCAUAUAAUAGCAAAUAGAAAUAAAUUGUCUGCUCUUUCCGUAUACAUCCUCUAUGUCCUUAAAAGCCAGCUGUUUCAUAGAACCUGAAAAUGUCUCGAGUUUUAAUGAUUCAGAAUAUAGAGGGCAAUAGCUGGCACAGAAACAGUAUCCAAAAAACUAGGUGUAUCGGGUUUUCUGUUUAAUGUGAGGAUUUUCAACCCUAACCUCUUAUAUUAAAAAAUGAAGUUAAACCUUUAGAAAUAAAACAAAUGAACUAGGAAACUUUAUUGUUAGUCUAGCCAUAAUAUUACUGUGAAAUUUUCCUAGAGAGGGCAUAACAUUUAGACUGCAGAUCAUUAAGACAAUUACUAAUUUCUUUUUAUCUGAGCCGUUACAUUCACAGGCAAAUGAUACACCUUAUUUUAUUGCUUAAUACCAGCCUGUGAAAAAUGAAGAUAUUUUUAGAAGAGAAUUAUGAACUAGUUCAGGAUGGUUCCCCCAUAUUUAACUUAAUGGUAAAGGACAAAAAAAAAUCCUUUGGAGUGUUAAAGCCUGAGAUGGAAACAUAUUCUAAGAGUUACAUGAAUUGAGGAGACAUUUCAAAACCUUGCAUAGGCAAGAAAGGAAAUUACUUGAAUGAAAUAGAGUGACAUCUUGGCAAGCAAAGGUGUAAGAGGUUUGUAAGCAGAAGAUCCUUCAGGUAUUAUAGCUGCUGUUAUCAAGUCUCCCUCUGCCUUCUGUGGCUAAUGUUCCCUCGUGAAAUGAGUGUGUACUUUCCUGCCCAGCUCUAUCCCUACACAGGCCUGCUUAUGUGCCAUUGUAUAUAUUUAUCACAGCUAAACUGGGGAAAGACUGAAGCUCCUUGCCUACUGUUAAUGAUUUUUUUGGGAAGGAAAUUUUUUAUUUGGCUCAGAUAGAAGACCCGAAAAUAACAUUUUCACUACACCAUGAGAAUAAAAUUAUUUAACAUUUUAUAUAUUUAUGGUAAAAAAUUAAUUACUAGGUUACACUUAAAUUAUCACUCUGAGGUAUGUUUGCAUUGCAUAAAAGCUAAUUUUAAUGCUUAGUGUAAACAGAAAUCAUUAGUGGAUAUCUGCACUUGAAACGAUCCUAAUGGAAAAGAAAGUAUAUAGCUAUUAAAUUCUAACUGGAAAUAAAUUCACUUCCUUCUUCAUUAACUUACUGAUCACCAUAUUUUAUUUUAUUUUAUCUUAUUUUAUUUUAUUUUACUCUAUUUUAAAGUUUGGGAAAACACACUGUGUGGUUUAUGUUCCCCCAAAUGUUCUAUCACUGACAUGAGUUUGUAUUUAAAUCUGAAAUUCUAGUUUCUGGGUGCUGCAGUAUGAGGCGAUGACAAACAGGCAAGGAUUUCAAAUGUCUCUCUAAAUUAUCAUUUCCCGAGAUGUAGAUUUUAACAGUUCUGCUUCAUCCUGAGUGUAAAGCUGGAUAAGGUGGCUUCACUGUGGAGUUGUCUUGUGUUUGUUGUUCUCUUCACAGCCGGGGAAUGAAUGAGUUCUGCUAAACACACUCAUUAAUGUCCAAUUUGUUUCUCCUCGUCUCUUUGAAGAAACCUCACGAGCAGUUGGAACACUUAUUUUAUUUUGAUUCUGUGCUGGAAAAUUGUAUUCACAGAAGUAAGCAUAUACCAAACAGCAAUAAAUCAUUAUUUCUCAGAUGACCAAUAUCAGCAGGAAUCUCAUAUACCUCUCUGCUGGAGUUGAUUUCUAAAUUCAUUGAAUAAUUAUUGGUGCUGCUUUUCAUAAGUGAAAAACAUUUUUUUUUUGCUUUCUAUUCCAGUUAACUUUUAAAGGCUCUCUUUCUCCCUCAUUUCCUCCAUACUUCUGUGAAUUAUUUGUGAAAGAAGACAAAAUACCAAAUUAGAUGUUUAGGAAAUGUCAAGAUGGGGUAAAAGAGUAAAACAUGAUUUCUCUAUGAACUCACGCAAACAUAUAGACUCUCAUAUUAAAGACCUAGGGAUAAAAUGUGAAUCUCAGGCUACUGUGUAAAAAAAUGAAAUAAAUAAAAACAAAUACUAAUGUCUUAAUGGAAACACAAGUAUUUACUAAUAUCUAAUUUACUAAUAUCAUUAUAAAUUGUAAUUUUAAUAUAAUUUAAUUUAUAUUGUAAAAUAACAAUGUAAAUGUUUACUACUAUGUGAACAUUUCUUUUUGUUCUAUUUCUAUUCUCUUUUGUUCUACCCUGUCAUUUCACAUCCUGGAGUAUUAACUGAAUUUUGAUAGUAAGCUUUGAUUAGGUAUUUAGGAAUGGACAUAUGAUUUUUAUCUAACCUUAUCUUAACAAAAUUUACUAACAUCAGCAGGAAAGUCAUGCAUUUUGACCUCAAAGUGAAUUUAUAAGACAUUGAUGGGUUUUAAAUCAAUUUUAAUACAGAUUAAAUAGCGUGGCUAUGUCUGAGAAAGUUAGGUUUGCACUCCAUGUGGGUACUUUAGCCAAUAGUUUAAAACAGCAUUGGUGUUUGGGCACGGGGAACUGUCAGAGACUGUGCAGGGAAAAACAAAACAAAACACACAAAAAUC